GUGUCAGCCGCCGCGGUAAUACGUAGGGCGCGAGCGUUGUCCGGAAUUAUUGGGCGUAAAGAGCUCGUAGGCGGCUUGUCGCGUCGGUUGUGAAAGCCUGGGGCUUAACCCCGGGUCUGCAGUCGAUACGGGCAGGCUAGAGUUCGGUAGGGGAGAUCGGAAUUCCUGGUGUAGCGGUGAAAUGCGCAGAUAUCAGGAGGAACACCGGUGGCGAAGGCGGAUCUCUGGGCCGAUACUGACGCUGAGGCUCGAAAGCGUGGGGAGCGAACAGGAUUAGAAACCCCUGUAGUCC
rnacentral:rRNA from 1 species